UACACUCCUACGGGAGGCAGCAGUGGGGAAUAUUGCACAAUGGGCGCAAGCCUGAUGCAGCCAUGCCGCGUGUAUGAAGAAGGCCUUCGGGUUGUAAAGUACUUUCAGCGGGGAGGAAGGCAAUACGGUUAAUAACCGUGUUGAUUGACGUUACCCGCAGAAGAAGCACCGGCUAACUCCGUGCCAGCAGCCGCGGUAAUACGGAGGGUGCAAGCGUUAAUCGGAAUUACUGGGCGUAAAGCGCACGCAGGCGGUCUGUCAAGUCGGAUGUGAAAUCCCCGGGCUCAACCUGGGAACUGCAUUCGAAACUGGCAGGCUUGAGUCUUGUAGAGGGGGGUAGAAUUCCAGGUGUAGCGGUGAAAUGCGUAGAGAUCUGGAGGAAUACCGGUGGCGAAGGCGGCCCCCUGGACAAAGACUGACGCUCAGGUGCGAAAGCGUGGGGAGCAAACAGGAUUAGAAACCCCAGUAGUCCC
rnacentral:rRNA from 1 species